ACGUAGGGGGCGAGCGUUAUUCGGAAUUACUGGGUGUAAAGGGUAUGUAGGCGGCCCUUCAAGUCGCGUGUCAAAGUCCAGUGCUCAACGCUGGGUGUGCGCGCGAUACUGACGGGCUUGAGGGCUGGAGAGGUGAGCGGAAUUCCCGGUGUAGUGGGGAAAGACGGUGAUCUGGGGAGGAACACCAGUGGCGAAGGCGGCUCACUAGAAAGGUUCUGACGGGAAGGAACGAAAGCGGGGGGAGCAAACAG
rnacentral:rRNA from 1 species